UUAUGACCACAUCACGGUUAAAACACCGGUUCCAGCAGGACCGUCGAAGUUAAGCAACCUUGAGUCUGGUCAGUAUCUAAAUGGGCGACCGCUUGUGAAUACCAAGUGCUGUAA